AUGGACGUGGUUGAGGAAAUAUCCUUCUUCCUCCUCGUCGGAGCCGUGCACGCCGCCGCGAGCCCGCCCGCAGGCUCUGCCGCAUUCUCAAGCCUCCGGUUCAUGUCGGCUCGGCUGGAUUCGUCCCUCCGAAUGACCACCGAGUCGCUGAAUGCGCUUGGAUCCUCUGCUGCUCAGUCACUCGGUUUUCGCAGAGACCGUGAAGGAGAAGUUUGAUAAAAUUCUUGAAUCUGCUAAUACGAAAAUAGCAAUGGCUCCAAACGCAUGGACGUGGUUGAGGAUUGAAAAUUGCAAGAACAGAGAGGAUAUCAGAGCUUCUCUUUGAUGUCUUGCAGAACCGAUACAGUUUUGUCAGUUGACUUCUUGCUCCAUUUGAGAAGUAAAUUUUUAAUUUGUGACUAGUUGAUAAAUCAAUCUAUUUUUUUCUUUCAUUGCAGAGAUUGUCAAAUCUUCGAAUUCAUGAGAAGCAUGUGUGCAUGCAAGGGCUCUUCAUUUUGGUAAGAAGGCCUUGUGGGAGCAUAAUGUCUAUGGAUUAACCCCUACAAUUGGCUCUGCAAACAAUCUUUUGCACAAUGCUAAAAAGCACAAAGAUGCUACCCUCACGCAGGAAGUUAUGAAGCUUUUGAAGAAGAAUAACUUGCCAUAGCAACCCAGCACGGCCGCACGGCCGAUGUUCUUUUCAGAAAAAUUUUGCAGCAUCUGUGAUGAUACGGACAAUUUGGGGUUGCUCACAAAGUAUUUGAAGAGAUUUGUCAAAAAUGGAGUAAAAUUGCAUAAAGCUGCAUUUGACAUCUGGAUGGAGUUUGCCGCAAAAGUAGGAGACAUUGAAUCUCUGGAAAAUUGAGGAGUUAAGAUGUGAGUCCAUGGAGCAGCACACCAUAGGCAGUGGGUUCUCAUUUGCGAAGGGAUAUUUACUCGAAGGCAAACCUGAGGAGGCUGCUACAGUCACUCACGUCUUGAAUCAGAGUUUACCUAACGCUAAGAGGUCCAGCAUCAUGGUUGAACUUCAAAAGCUUGUCAGUGAGUGGCCUUUCGAGGUUGUCAAACAGAAGAAAGAAGAUAACGGCAAGGCAUUGGCUGCUUCUCCCAAAUCCGACAUCCCAGCCAUGGUUAGGUCCUUAUUAAACACGGGCUUGGAGGUGAAAGUGAAAGGCACCCUUUGUUAAAGUAUGACAGAAUUGGAGAUUGAAUGCACUAGCUGCAGAUCUGUCUCCUAUGUGGACCGCUAAGGUUACCAUGUUAGUUUCAACCAAGCGCGGUACUCAUAUCUCGAGCAACAAGCAUCUGAAGUUCUCUUGUGAAGGUCCCUGAACCAUGAAAGCAUCUGCUUCUUGAUUUGAAUGUUGUCACUUCUGUACUUUCGGAUAAUGAUCUUUUUUUUCCCCAAAAAAUAUGAGUGUAUUGGAGACGAUAGGUGCAUCAUCAGCAAUUGAAUUGUGAGAACAACCUCGGAUACUAGUUUUUGCAGGGAGGAUUCUUUUGGCUUGGGCAGUUCAGAGGCAGACAAUAGAUAAAAUGGUCCUUUCAAUUUCAGUCUGGUCGGCAGCCUAUUUUGUUAUAUUUCUGACAGAAGUUCGCUGUCCAAAAUUAAGAGAGUGCAUUUAAUGCUGACUCACUUGAUGAUGGCAUACAGCGACCGCCAUUGCUUCCUGAUUUAAUCG